CUGUGGUUAAGGAACUCGGCAAAAUGCCCCCGUAACUUCGGGAGAAGGGGGACCAGUCCUGGUGACGACAUUUACUGUCUGAGCUGGGGUUGGUCGCAGAGACCAGAGAGAAGCGAUUGUUUACUAAAAACACAGGUCCGUGCGAAGUCGUAAGACGAUGUAUACGGACUGACGCCUGCCCGGUGCUGGAAGGUUAAGAGGACCGGUCAGCCACUUCGGUGGCGAAGCUGAGAAUUUAAGCCCCAGUAAACGGCGGUGGUAACUAUAACCAUCCUAAGGUAGCGAAAUUCCUUGUCGGGUAAGUUCCGACCUGCACGAAUGGCGUAACGACUUCUCUGCUGUCUCAACCACAGACUCGGCGAAAUUGCAGUACGAGUAAAGAUGCUCGUUACGCGCGGCAGGACGAAAAGACCCCGGGACCUUCACUAUAGCUUGGUAUUGGUGUUCGGUUCGGUUUGUGUAGGAUAGGUGGGAGACUGUGAAACUCGCACGCCAGUGUGGGUGGAGUCAUUGUUGAAAUACCACUCUGACCGUAUUGGACAUCUAACCUCGGACCAUGAUCUGGUUCAGGGACAGUGCCUGGUGGGUAGUUUUAACUGGGGCGGUUGCCUCCUAAAAAGUAACGGAGGCGCCCAAAGGUUCCCUCAGCCUGGUUGGCAAUCAGGUGUUGAGUGUAAGUGCACAAGGGAGCUUGACUGUGAGACGUACAUGUCGAGCAGGGACGAAAGUCGGGACUAGUGAUCCGGCACCGGCAAGUGGAAGCGGUGUCGCUCAACGGAUAAAAGGUACCCCGGGGAUAACAGGCUGAUCUUCCCCAAGAGUCCAUAUCGACGGGAUGGUUUGGCACCUCGAUGUCGGCUCGUCGCAUCCUGGGGCUGGAGUAGGUCCCAAGGGUUGGGCUGUUCGCCCAUUAAAGCGGCACGCGAGCUGGGUUUAGAACGUCGUGAGACAGUUCGGUCUCUAUCCGCCGCGCGCGUAAGAAACUUGAGGAAACCUGUCCCUAGUACGAGAGGACCGGGACGGACGAACCUCUGGUGUGCCAGUUGUUCCACCAGGAGCACCGCUGGUUAGCUACGUUCGGAAGGGAUAACCGCUGAAAGCAUCUAAGCGGGAAGCCUGUUCCAAGAUGAGGCUUCUCACCACCUAGCGUGGUUAAGGCCCCCCACAGACCAUGGGGUUGAUAGGCCAGAACUGUAAGCACAGCAAUGUGUUCAGGUGACUGGCACUAAUCGGCCGAGGACUUAC
rnacentral:rRNA from 1 species